rnacentral:rRNA from 1 species
UACGGAGGGGGCGAGCGUUAUUCGGAAUCAUUGGGCGUAAAGGGCGCGUAGGCGGCCCCGUAAGUCUUGGGUGAAAGCCCUCGGCUCAACCGAGGAAUUGCCUUGGAUACUGCGGGGCUCGAGGCUGGAAGAGGGCAGUGGAAUUCCAGGUGUAGCGGUGAAAUGCGUAGAUAUCUGGAGGAACACCGGUGGCGAAGGCGGCAUCCUGGACCAAUAUUGACGCUGAGGAGCGAAAGCCAGGGGAGCAAACGGG